UACGUAGGGUGCUAGCGUUGUCCGGAUUUAUUGGGCGUAAAGGGCUCGUAGGCGGCGUGUCGCGUCGGGAGUGAAAGCCCGCUGCUUAACGGCGGGUUGGCUUCCGGUACGGGCAUCGCUGGAGUGCGGCAGGGGAGACUGGAAUUCCCGGUGUAGCGGUGAAAUGCGCAGAUAUCGGGAAGAACACCCGUGGCGAAGGCGGCUCUCUGGGACGGUACUGGACGCUGAGACGCGAAAGCGUGGGGAGCGAACAGG
rnacentral:rRNA from 1 species